GUGCCAGCAGCCGCGGUAAUACGGAGGGUGCGAGCGUUAAUCGGAAUUACUGGGCGUAAAGCGUGCGUAGGCGGUUCGUUAAGUCAGAUGUGAAAGCCCUGGGCUCAACCUGGGAACUGCAUUUGAAACUGGCGGACUAGAGUUUAGUAGAGGGGAGUGGAAUUUCAGGUGUAGCGGUGAAAUGCGUAGAUAUCUGAAGGAACACCAGUGGCGAAGGCGACUCCCUGGACUAGAACUGACGCUGAGGUACGAAAGCGUUUAAAGCAAAAAAGAUUAUUACCUGUGUAGUCCACGCAGUAAACGUUGUGGACUAGCCGUUGGUCCUAUAUACAGGAGGAGUGGCGCAGCUAACCCAUUAAGUCGACCGCCUGGGGAGUACGGCCGCAAGGUUAAAACUCAAAUGAAUUGACGGGGGCCCGCACAAGCGGUGGAGCAUGUGGUUUAAUUCGAUGCAACGCGAAGAACCUUACCUGGCCUUGACAUCCAUGGAAUC
rnacentral:rRNA from 1 species